CCUACGGGUGGCAGCAGUGGGGAAUAUUGGACAAUGGGCGAAAGCCUGAUCCAGCCAUGCCGCGUGUGUGAAGAAGGCCUUCGGGUUGUAAAGCACUUUCAGUGGGGAAGAAAGCCUUGGGGCUAAUACCCUCGAGGAAGGACAUCACCCACAGAAGAAGCACCGGCUAACUCCGUGCCAGCAGCCGCGGUAAUACGGAGGGUGCGAGCGUUAAUCGGAAUUACUGGGCGUAAAGCGCGCGUAGGCGGUCUGAUAAGCCGGUUGUGAAAGCCCCGGGCUCAACCUGGGAACGGCAUCCGGAACGGUCAGGCUAGAGUGCAGGAGAGGAAGGUAGAAUUCCCGGUGUAGCGGUGAAAUGCGUAGAGAUCGGGAGGAAUACCAGUGGCGAAGGCGGCCUUCUGGACUGACACUGACGCUGAGGUGCGAAAGCGUGGGUAGCAAACAGGAUUAGAUACCCUUGUAGUC
rnacentral:rRNA from 1 species